UAGGGAAUCUUCCGCAAUGGACGCAAGUCUGACGGAGCAACGCCGCGUGAGUGAAGAAGGAUUUCGGUUCGUAAAACUCUGUUGUUAGAGAAGAACAGCGCAUAGAGUAACUGUUAUGCGUGUGACGGUAUCUAACCAGAAAGCCGCGGCUAACUACGUGCCAGCAGCCGCGGUAAUACGUAGGUGGCAAGCGUUGUCCGGAUUUAUUGGGCGUAAAGCGAGCGCAGGCGGUCAAUUAAGUCUGAUGUGAAAGCCCCCGGCUCAACCGGGGAGGGUCAUUGGAAACUGGUUGACUUGAGUGCAGAAGGGGAGAGUGGAAUUCCAUGUGUAGCGGUGAAAUGCGUAGAUAUAUGGAGGAACACCGGUGGCGAAAGCGGCUCUCUGGUCUGUAACUGACGCUGAGGCUCGAAAGCGUGGGGAGCGAACAGG
rnacentral:rRNA from 1 species